rnacentral:tRNA from 2 species
GGCCGCGUGCCAGAGUGGUCUAAUGGGGCGGAUUGCAAAUCCGUUUACCGUCGGUUCGAAUCCGACCGCGGCCU